UUGGCUCUAGGAUGUGCUCAUUGCAUGAACUGUGUAUAUUUUUAUUCGAUACCCAGAGCAUGCAGUGUGAACAUAAUAGAGAUGG
ensembl:miRNA MIR1912 microRNA 1912